rnacentral:rRNA from 1 species
ACGUAGGCGGCUUUGUAAGUUAGAGGUGAAAGCCUUCGGCUUAACCGGAGUAGUGCAUUGGAAACUGGGAGACUUGAGUGCAGAAGAGGAGAGUGGAAUUCCAUGUGUAGCGGUGAAAUGCGUAGAUAUAUGGAGGAACACCAGUGGCGAAGGCGGCUCUCUGGUCUGUAACUGACGCUGAGGCUCGAAAGCGUGGGGAGCA